AAAACCUAGCGAAAGCGACUGGAUCAAUAAAAUGAUGAUGGAUAAGUUGCUUCUAUUAGACCCGAAGCCAGGUGAUCUUUCCAAGACCAGAUUAUAAUGGAUCGAACGGGUGAAUGUUGCAUAAUUCUCCGAAGAGUUUUGGAAAGCGGCGAAAUACCAAUCUGACCUGGUGAUAGCUGGUUUUCUN
rnacentral:rRNA from 1 species